rnacentral:rRNA from 1 species
GAUUAAGUUAUUAAGGGCGCACGGUGGAUGCCUUGGCACUAGAAGCCGAUGAAGGACGUUACUAACGACGAUAUGCUUUGGGUAGCUGUAAGUAAGCGUUGAUCCAGAGAUUUCCGAAUGGGGGAACCCAGCAUGAGUUAUGUCAUGUUAUCGACAUGUGAAUUCAUAGCAUGUCAGAAGGCAGACCCGGAGAACUGAAACAUCUUAGUACCCGGAGGAAGAGAAAGAAAAAUCGAUUCCCUGAGUAGCGGC